rnacentral:misc_RNA from 1 species
GAUGAAGAACGUAGCGAAAUGCGAUAAGUAAUGUGAAUUGCAGAAUUCAGUGAAUCAUCGAAUCUUUGAACGCACCUUGCACUCCUUGGUAUUCCGAGGAGUACGCCUGUUCGAGUGUUAUGAAGCUCUCAAAACGCAAUUGGCUGAAAACCUGAUUGUUGUUUUGGAUUUGAACUUUGCCGUGUUAUAACGGCUGGUUUUAAAAGUAUUAGCUGGUACUAGAACGAAUUGGUUCUACUCAACGUGAUAAUUAUCUGAUCGUUGAGGACAUUCCUUUCACGAGGAAUGGCCAUAGUAAAUUCAAUGGCCUGCUUCUAAUCUGGCUUUAAUUCUUUAUUGGAUUAACCACUUUUCAAAUCUGACCUCGAAUCAGGUGGGACUACCCGCUGAACUUAAGCAUAUCAAUAAGCGGAGGA